ACCGCGGUAGCUCAACUGAUAGAGCAUCUGCACGGUAUGCGGAGGGUCGCCGGUUCGAUCCCGGCUCUCGGCG
rnacentral:tRNA from 1 species